rnacentral:sRNA from 1 species
ACAUGAACCACAGGGGCUUGUUACAAUUGCCGGGUUUACUAUCCAUACAAACCCCUAAAAAACAGGGGUUCGUAUGGAUAGUAAACCCGGCAAUUGUAACAAGCCCCUGUGGCCAGA